rnacentral:rRNA from 1 species
UCUAGUCCACAUACCAUCCUGAACGUGUUCAAUCUCCUCUGAUCUUGGAAGCUAAACAUGGUUGGGUCUGAUUAGCACUUGGAUGGGAACUUGGC